rnacentral:lncRNA from 1 species
AACUCUUGUAUGACAGGGCCCCCAGCCAAGCCGAUAUCAUACAUGACCAAGCAUCGUACUCGGAUAAACGUCAAUCCGGGCACAGAGGGACAAUCUAUCUCCGUACACUCCACCUCAACAUCAGACGGUAUACCGUAAAAUACCCCACGCGAAACAGCAGGUAGCGGCAUAGUGCUAAUCUGAAAUGUUAUCCCCAAAAGGGGUGGGUACAACCGCUCAGCAGAUAGGGAAAUCCAAUAACAUUCCAAUGCACCAUACAUAUCAUCACACGUUGCAAACAUCACUUACCUUGUAACCAUGCAUAUCAUGCAUCAUUAAUAGCCAUGCAUCACCAUGCAUAUCACAUCAUCCUUAGCCGUGCAUCACCAUGCAUAUCACAUCAUAUCAUCAUUAGCCAUGCAUCACCAUGCAUAUCACAUCAUAUCAUCAUUAGCCAUGCAUCACCAUGCAUAUCACAUCAUAUCAUCAUUAGCCAUGCAUCACCAUGCAUAUCACAUCAUAUCAUCAUUAGCCAUGCAUCACCAUGCAUAUCACAUCAUAUCAUCAUUAGCCAUGCAUCACCAUGCAUAUCAUAUCAUCAUUAGCCAUGCAUUACCAUGCAUAUCACAUCAUAGAUCAAUUUCCACUUUUACUUAUCAAUUGAUCCCAUAUUAUCUUUUCUCAAAUCAUCAAAUUCACCAUCAUCACCAUCCCUUCGGGCAGAAACCUCCGACAGGGUAUCAUUAUCAAUCCUUCGGGCAGAAACCUCCGACAGGAUUCCAUGAUCAAUUUGAUCAUCACCCUUCGGGCAGAAACCUCCGACAGGGUUCCCAGUAUCCCAGCCAUCUCAUGGCCACUGGGCUUCCGGCCCCCCACAUUCCGGGCAUCUCGCAUCUCAACUAGCAUCACGAGGCAUUCCCUUCGGGCAGAAACCUCCGACAGGGUUCCCGGCCUUUACCCUUCUAACCGGGGAUCUCGCACCCCAAUCCUGGCAUCGCGAGUCACCUCCGGGCAUGUAUCCCAGAUACAACCGGACUUCCGGCCCCCCACAUUCCGGGCAUCCUGAAACUCCCAGGGAAUCUCUGGAAUUACGCCACCCGGCCACCAGACAACAUCCUCCGCCACAACCUCUUACUCACAUAUCACUUUCCACUUUUUAUCAUCCUUUUCAUCUUAUUAUUUCAUGGCAUAUUGUUCACACACAUGCAUCAUGAUUCGUAAUCAUACAUGCAUCAAUGCCAUAUAACAAUGCAUCAUAAUUCAUGAUCAUUCAUACAUCAAUGCCAUAUAGCAAUACAUCAUAAUUCCAUAGAACUCAUGGCCAAUAAAAUAAUCCACCUUUUAUUUUAUUAUUAUUUUAUUAUUAUAUUAUUAUAUUAUUAUAUUAUUAUAUUAUUUUAUUUUCAUAAAUAAAUAUUAUAUUUAACAUUUAUGAUUUUCCAAAAAUCAUAAUCUUCAAUCAAUCAUUAUCAAACAAUUAAAAUCAAAUUUCACAUAAAAUCCAUGGCUAAUUUGCAUUUUACAUAAUUUCCCAAAUUUCCACAAUAUUCGGGAAAUGGCCAGAUUGCACAGUUUUCGAAUUAAUUCAAUUAAAAUACUCAUAUGACCUCCGAAAAUUCCCAAAUUUUACAGGGUGAUAGCCAACACAUUUUCGUGCAUUUUUCAUGUAGAACUCUAAGCCAAAUUCUUUAUAGAUUAAUUUAUACAACUCCAUGAAGCUUCUGGAACCUCUACCGUUUCGUCCAGAACGUACAUCACCGAAAAACUUAGGUUUGACCCAUCAAAUCUCUUUCGUUUCUUCUGAAAUUCGAUUAUUUUAUGUGUCAAUGUGUCCUUUACAAGUUUCAUGAAGAGGUAUAGGUUAAAUAAUCAAAGUAUAAUCCUCUUUUAAGUCCUUGAAGUCUCGGGUGUCUCGGUUCACUUCAACAGAACCAUCCGUCUCAAAGAUCUAGCCGAUUAACUAGGCUACACUUGUUCAUUUCUCUUCAAAUUUGAGUAUAUUGUAGUUUAGGAUGUUACCAACAACUUUCAUGAAGACAAUAAAGUGAGAUCUCCAACAGAAAUCAACAUGCAACCAAGAAAUCAUCAAGAGGUCAGUAGGAAAUUCGCAGAUCUAAAGCCUCCGUGAAAUAGAACUUUUGACCCCUCAUAUCACCAUCGUUUUCCAUGAAAUUCGAGUAUGUCAUACCUCAAGAUGUUAGCUUCAACUUUCAUGAAGACACCGAAGCCAAAAUCACACUCCAAAUACACAUGCAAGCUCGAAUAAGAAACUGUCUACCACAAACCGAACGGAAACAGCCACAUUACAUGAACACAUGCAACCCUUACCUCGGUUCUUCGCCCAAACCACACCUAAAAUCUAACAUGCAACCAACAAAAACAACAUGCAAGAGAAGUUAUGGACCCCCACUUGCCUUAAAGAAGAACACACAGCAACACACGGCGGCGUAGGACGGUCGGACGGCGGACGAACGGCGGCACCUCCCUCUAGGCUCCGCCUCC